rnacentral:rRNA from 1 species
UACGAAGGGGGCUAGCGUUGCUCGGAAUCACUGGGCGUAAAGCGCACGUAGGCGGACUCUUAAGUCGGUGGUGAAAUCCUGGAGCUCAACUCCAGAACUGCCUUCGAUACUGAGAGUCUCGAGUCCGGGAGAGGUGAGUGGAACUGCGAGUGUAGAGGUGAAAUUCGUAGAUAUUCGCAAGAACACCAGUGGCGAAGGCGGCUCACUGGCCCGGUACUGACGCUGAGGUGCGAAAGCGUGGGAGCAAACAGGG